rnacentral:rRNA from 1 species
UACGUAGGGUGCGAGCGUUAAUCGGAAUUACUGGGCGUAAAGCGUGCGCAGGCGGUUCGUUGUGUCGGCGGUGAAAGCCCCGGGCUCAACCUGGGAAUGGCCGUUGAAACUGGCGAACUGGAGUGUGGCAGAGGGGGGGUGGAAUUCCGCGUGUAGCAGUGAAAUGCGUAGAGAUGCGGAGGAACACCGAUGGCGAAGGCAGCCCCCUGGGCUGACACUGACGCUCAGGCACGAAAGCGUGGGGAGCAAACAGG